ACAGCGUCGCCUUCCCGGCCGCCGCCCCGACGCCGGCCGCUCCCCGCCGCGCCCGCAAGUCCCCGCCGAGACCCCACCAAGUCCCCGCGCCGCCGUGCACAGCCGUCGAGGGGCUAUCGUCCGACCAGGAGCUCGGCCCGUCGGGUCCGAGGCCCGACCCAGCUCUCGGUGCUGGCGCUGUGAACGCGCGCUCCCCGCUUGGCUCCCGAGGGCGGUGGGCCCUCGGACUCCGCUGUGAGGAUCCCUCAUCCCUGUACUUGACCGAGCUCCGCGGGGGGUUGGAGCUAGGGCUCGCCUUCCCCGCGUUCCUUUUCACCAGAUUUGACUGAUUUCCUGCCCAGAAAAUUGCUACAAGGUCAAACGGGGAACUGGCCCGCACCCUGGCCUGUUAAGCAGGUCCGGGAACCCCAGUCUCACCGACGCUGAAGGAAUUUCUGGGGGCCUUUCAGGGCGCUGUAGGGUGAAUUCAAGUCGUGUGAGAAUUUGAUAGUGAUUUCAGUCUGAUGCAUCUUAGAGUACUUCCUUCCUUGAAAACUUCCAGACAACUGUUCCUCCUCUUCACAAAUAAUUUUUCCUCCGAAUUAUUGCCUUUUCAUUUUAAAAUAAGAUAAAAGAAAGAUUUGGACCCCGGGCACAAGUUUUGUAAUUUGGCUUGGAAUGAAUAUCCAGACUGCUCUUUUCUAGCGUGAAGCAAACUAACUGGAUGUCAUUAUAUCCAGGAGGAUGAGGGGACUGUCCCUGAAAACCUUGCCCAGUCCACCUUUUAUUUUCCUGCUGGGAAGGUAUUUCUUAUCAUUCAUACCGCUGUGGAACGCUAAACAUGUGUUUUCCUAGAGCCACUCACGGCAGAGCAGUUCAAAAAUAACUUUUAAUGUGAUCAUUUUAGGAGAGGUGGAGUAACAGGAAAAUAACAUAAAGUAAAAGCUCAUGAGUUUAUUACUCCGCAAGUUAUGAUUUCUGGUGGUCUAAUGUGGUUUAAAUAAAGGUAGGUAUGCUAGCUACUAUUAAUUUUAAAGUCUAGGCCUCUGAGCCGAGGUUGUCCCUUUGAAUAAACCUCCAGUGGCACUGUUCUCUCCUGUCUCACUGAAAUGCUAGGAUGGCACAUGGGCAAUAAAGCUGGCUAGCAAAAUAUCAGAGGAUCUACUAUGAAACUUCUGUAAUGUCUUCCGGAUGGUAUUUCCUGUUUGCUCAACGUGUUGUGAAAGGUUUAAGAAAUUUAAUGUCAUCCUCAGACUAUUAAUACUUAGUAAUUUUCAUACUAUUACUAAUAUUUGUGUCUUUGGGUAUUUGGAAGACUUGAGUCCUGUUCCGUAUCUGCCUUUAGAAAGGACAAGCUUGAUUAGGUUGCUUCAUAUCUCUCUGGACCUGAAGUAACUUAUCAGUAAAGAUCAUUGCCUGCUUCUGUCUGACAUUAAAAUAGCAAUUGAGGAAUUGCCAUAAUUCUUUGAAUUUGUCCUGUCUGGAAUGCUGACGAAGUUAAAAUUGCUGAUCAGUAACAAAGGAGAAUGGAGAAAAUAAUAAUAAUAACAGACAUUGUUAGAUUCUGAAAUAUUUUGAGGCCUUGUGUUUCUAAAAUGUUCCUUAUUUUUAAGUCAAUUUCUGGUGUAUAUGUAAAAUGGCAAAUUUUCAUUCUAUGGAAAAACUUUGUAAGGAGUUCAUGUGCCCAAGCUUGGUUAGGCAGAUACUAGAUUUCAGAAUUCUUUAAUUAUUACAUCUCAAGAAAUGUAACUUUGUAAUAUGGAUUACUUUAAAUCUUAAGCACAGUAUUUACUAGGUUAUCUGUUAUCCAUUAAAUAUUUUGUAUGAGAAAAAUCCUGAGAAUGUAUACCAAUCACCUGCUAUUUUUGCCCUUUUUUCACUUGUAAAUAAAAAGUUCUAGAUAUUUUUAUAUUAUAGGAAUGAGCUGUGGGAGUUCCCUGGUGACUCAGUACGUUAAGGAUGUGGCAUUGUCACUGCCAUGGUGUGGGUUUGAUUCCCUGGCCCGGGAACUUCUGCAUGCUGCAGGUGCAGCCAAAAACCAAAAAUAAAUUUAAAUAUAUUAAAAAAAAGAAUGAGCUACUUAUAAUAUUUGUUGCCAUAAGUGUCUGUGUUUGAUAUGCCACUUUGAUUGAUGUAGCUUUGUAGUAUUGUAUGAAGUUUGGGAGGGUUAAGCCUCCUGCUUUGUUCUGUUUACUGAGGCUUGCUUUAGCAGUUCUGGGGCUUUUAUGGUUCCACAUAAAUUUUAGGAUUAUUAGUUCUAGUUAUGUGAGAAAUGUCAUGGGUAACUUGAUAGGAAUUGCAUUAAAUCUGUAGGUUGCUUUGGGUAGUAUGACUGUUUUAACAAUAUUAAUUCUUCUAAUUCAGGAGCAUGGGUUAUUUUUCUGUUUCUUUGACCAGCUUCAAUUUCCUUUAUUAAAAAUGUUUUGUAGUUCUCGGCAUAUGUCUUUCACCUCCUUGGUAAGGUUAAUUUCUAAGAUGCCUUUUUUUUUUUUUUUAAUGUGAUUUUAGAGGGAUUAUUUGUUUACAUUCUCUUUCUGAUAUUUCACUGUAAGUGUAAAGAAGUGCACUUGGCAACCGAUUUCUGUAUGUUAAUCUUCUAUCUUGCUGAAUUCAUUUAUCAGUUCUGGUGGUUUUCAUGUGGAGUCUUUAGGAUUUUCUAUGUAUAGUAUCAUGUCAUCUGCAUGAUAAUACCACUUUGAACUUCUUUAAACCAUUCUGCUUUCAAAAAGCAUUAUUAUUUCAAUUUAUUUCUAAUCCUCUUCAAUUUUAUUUUAUUUCUUUUUAUACCUAAUAUCUUCUAGCAAGUCCCUGAAUCUUAUGAUAAGUUUGUGUUUCAUAGUCUAUCACACCAAAAUAUUUAUAACUGUAUAGGACCUAUGGACUUUAUUUGAUAAGCAAUAGAAUGAUUUUAAGAAUUCUGGCCUAAAUGUAGAACACAUAUUAUUAUUAACAUAAUAUUUUCAGUAUGAAAAAAAUAUAUGUUUUAUGGCAGUUUUGUCAUCCUAAAGUGGCAAGAAACUUAAAGUUUAGGACCUAAUAAGUGCCAGGAUUUAAAGUAUUAGAUUGGCACGCUGGUUGUGUAGAGAGGUUUACAUGUAUUACAGUUGUAAUUGUCAUGAGAAAUGACUUUUAGAGGAAGUUUGCUAUAUAUCUGGAAAGGACAACAAUUAUAUUUCUCUUGAGAAGAGAGAAUAGCAGCAGUGAGGAAUGACAUUGAACUGUUCUUUCAUCAGUUAAGUGGCUAGAUUGUACAUAUAGCAUGACAAGGCAGUGUCUGAAAAUGGCAUCUUAGGGACUAAUGGAUGUGACCCACCAUCACUGCCUCCCCAUCACCUAGCCAAAUCCCUGGCAUCAUGGUGGGACUCAGGUAGUGUUUCCUAAAUGUACAGAUAUAUCAGUUCCACUUCUGAUAUGUUCCAUCCAUAUGCUGUAAGCCCCUGAAACCCAGCUGGCUCCAUUGGUACCAACACUGAUGCUUGAGCAGGCAGAGAGGUAGCACCACUCCCAGGCACCACACCUUCUCAGCACAUAUUCUAGAGCUUGAAUUCAUGACUCUAUUUACAAACAUUUCCUGAACAUCAUCUAGGUACUUGAAUCAUUAAGAAUCAGAUUAUAAGAGCUAUUGUCUUCUCUGUCAGCUUAGUUUCUUUUUUAUCACCAAAUGUUAAUCAUAAAUAAUACAUAUAAUUACUUAGCUUAUACUGUGUACCAGGCCCUGUGCUAACUAAUUUUGAUGUGUCAUUUCAUUAAUCCUCACAUCCUGGGCUUAUACUGUUAUUGUUCCCUUUUAUCAUUGAAGAAAUGAAAGCACAGACAGGGUAAGAAACUUACCCAGGGAGUAAGAAGUAGAGCUGACCUUUGAACUGAGCCAGUAUGACACCAGCACUCAAGAUGCUGUACCAAGGAC
rnacentral:lncRNA from 1 species